rnacentral:rRNA from 1 species
CCUACGGGCGGCAGCAGUGAGGAAUAUUGGUCAAUGGACGAGAGUCUGAACCAGCCAAGUAGCGUGAAGGAUGACUGCCCUAUGGGCUGUAAACUUCUUUUGUCAGGGAGCAAUUGAGUCCACGUGUGGGCUUAGCGAGUGUACCUGAAGAAAAAGCAUCGGCUAACUCCGUGCCAGCAGCCGCGGUAAUACGGAGGAUGCGAGCGUUCUUCGGAUUGAUUGGGUUUAAAGGGUGCGUUGGCGGAAGAUCAAGUCAGCGGUAAAAAUUCGGGGCUCAACCCCGUCGUGCCGUUGAAACUGAUGUUCUUGAGUGGGCGAGAGGUAUGCGGAAUGCGUGGUGUAGCGGUGAAAUGCAUAGAUAUCACGCAGAACUCCGAUGGCGAAGGCGGCAUACCGGCGCCCAACUGACGCUGAAGCACGAAAGCGUGGGUAGCGAACAGGAUUAGAUACCCGGGUAGUC